AGGAAGGUAGUGUAGUUAACACCUGCAUAUUUGACGUUACCUACAGAAGAAGCACCGGCUAACUCCGUGCCAGCAGCCGCGGUAAUACGGAGGGUGCGAGCGUUAAUCGGAAUUACUGGGCGUAAAGCGCAUGCAGGCGGCCUGUUAAGUCAGAUGUGAAAGACCCGGGGCGUUAACCUCGGAAUUGCAUUUGAAACUAGGCAGGCUAGAGUCUUGUUAGAGGGGGGUAGGAAGUUUCUAGGUGUAGCGGUGAAAUAGCGUAGAGAUCUGAAGGAAUACCAGUGGCGAAGGCGGCCCCCUCGGACAAAGACUGACGCUCAGAUGCGAAAGCGUGGGGAGCAAACAGGAUUAGAUACCCUGGUAG
rnacentral:rRNA from 1 species